AUUGAACGCUGGCAGCAUGCCUUACACAUGCAAGUCGAACGGCAGCAUGGAGAGCUUGCUCUCUGAUGGCGAGUGGCGAACGGGUGAGUAAUGCAUCGGAACGUACCGUGUAAUGGGGGAUAACGUAGCGAAAGUUACGCUAAUACCGCAUACGACCUGAGGGUGAAAGCAGGGGAUCGCAAGACCUUGCGUUAUACGAGCGGCCGAUGUCAGAUUAGCUAGUUGGUGAGGUAAAGGCUCACCAAGGCGACGAUCUGUAGCGGGUCUGAGAGGAUGAUCCGCCACACUGGGACUGAGACACGGCCCAGACUCCUACGGGAGGCAGCAGUGGGGAAUGUUGGACAAUGGGGGCAACCCUGAUCCAGCCAUGCCGCGUGAGUGAAGAAGGCCUUCGGGUUGUAAAGCUCUUUCGGCCGGGAAGAAAUCGCACAGGCUAAUACUCUGCGUGGAUGACGGUACCGGCAUAAGAAGCACCGGCUAACUACGUGCCAGCCGCCGCCGUAA
rnacentral:rRNA from 1 species